rnacentral:rRNA from 1 species
AUUGAACGCUGGCGGCAGGCCUAACACAUGCAAGUCGAGCGGAGCGGCGGACGGGUGUGUAAUGCCUAGGAAUCUGCCUGGUAGUGGGGGACAACGUCCGGAAACGGGCGCUAAUACCGCAUACUAUCAGAUGAGCCUAGGUCGGAUUAGCUGGGUGGUGGGGUAAAGGCCUACCAAGGCGACGAUCCGUAACUGGUCUGAGAGGAUGAUCAGUCACUCUGGAACUGAGAAACGGUCCCGGCUCCUACGGGCGGCAGCGGUGGGGAAUAUUGGACAAUGGGCAAAAGCCUGAUCCAGCCAUGCCGCGUGUGUGAAGAGGGUCUUCGGAUUGUAAAGCACUUUAAGUUGGGAGACGUUACCGACAGAAUAAGCACCGGCUAACUUCGUGCGAGCAGCCGCGGUAAUUC